UACGUAGGGUGCGAGCGUUGUCCGGAAUUACUGGGUGUAAAGGGUGCGUAGGCGGGCAUGUGCGUCGGAGGUUAAAUACAACGGCUUAACCGUUGAACUGCCUUCGAAACGGCAUGUCUUGAAUGUGGGAGAGGAUGAUGGAAUUCCUGGUGUAGCGGUGAAAUGCGUAGAUAUCAGGAGGAACACCGGUGGCGAAGGCGGUCAUCUGGCCCACUAUUGACGCUGAGGCACGAAAGCGUGGGGAGCAAACAGG
rnacentral:rRNA from 2 species